UACGGAGGGGGCUAGCGUUGUUCGGAAUUACUGGGCGUAAAGCGCACGUAGGCGGCUUUGUAAGUUAGAGGUGAAAGCCUGGGGCUCAACUCCAGAAUUGCCUUUAAGACUGCAUCGCUUGAACGUCGGAGAGGUGAGUGGAAUUCCGAGUGUAGAGGUGAAAUUCGUAGAUAUUCGGAAGAACACCAGUGGCGAAGGCGGCUCACUGGACGACUGUUGACGCUGAGGUGCGAAAGCUAGGGGAGCAAACGGG
rnacentral:rRNA from 1 species